GCGCGAAAACUUUACAAUGCGAGAAAUCGUGAUAAGGGAACUCCGAGUGCCCGUAAAAUCGGGCUGUUAAUCUGUUUAAAUAACAGGUUGAGAAAGGGCCGGGCAAGACCGGUGCCAGCCGCCGCGGUAAUACCGGCGGCUCGAGUGGUGGCCACUAUUACUGGGCUUAAAGCGUUCGUAGCUGGUCUGUUAAGUCUCUGGGGAAAUCUUCCGGCUUAACCGGAAGGCGUCUCAGGGAUACUGGCAGACUAGGGACCGGGAGAGGUGAGGGGUACUCCAGGGGUAGGAGUGAAAUCCUGUAAUCCUUGGGGGACCACCUGUGGCGAAGGCGCCUCACCAGAACGGCUCCGACAGUGAGGAACGAAAGCUGGGGGAGCAAACCGGAUUAGAUACCCGGGUAGUCCCAGCUGUAAACGAUGCGCGUUAGGUGUAUCGGUGACCACGAGUCACCGAGGUGCCGAAGAGAAAUCGUGAAACGUGCCGCCUGGGAAGUACGGUCGCAAGGCUGAAACUUAAAGGAAUUGGCGGGGGA
rnacentral:rRNA from 1 species